rnacentral:misc_RNA from 1 species
UACGGAGGGUGCAAGCGUUACUCGGAAUCACUGGGCGUAAAGGACGCGUAGGCGGGUUGGUAAGUCAGAUGUGAAAUCCUACAGCUUAACUGUAGAACUGCAUUUGAAACUACUGACCUAGAGUAUGGGAGGGGGAGAUGGAAUUAGUGGUGUAGGGGUAAAAUCCGUAGAUAUCACUAGGAAUACCUAAAGCGAAGGCGAUCUUCUGGAACAUUACUGACGCUAAGGCGUGAAAGCGUGGGGAGCAACCGGG